rnacentral:rRNA from 1 species
AACGGCCCACCAAGGCGACGAUCGGUAGCCGGACUGAGAGGUUGAACGGCCACAUUGGGACUGAGACACGGCCCAGACUCCUACGGGAGGCAGCAGUGGGGAAUAUUGCACAAUGGGGGAAACCCUGAUGCAGCGACGCCGCGUGGAGGAAGAAGGUCUUCGGAUUGUAAACUCCUGUUGUUGAGGAAGAUAAUGACGGUACUCAACAAGGAAGUGACGGCUAACUACGGGCCAGCAGCCGCGGUAAAACGUAGGUCACAAGCGUUGUCCGGAAUUACUGGGUGUAAAGGGAGCGCAGGCGGGCGAUCAAGUUGGAAGUGAAAUCCAUGGGCUCAACCCAUGAACUGCUCUCAAAACUGGUCGUCUUGAGUAGUGCAGAGGUAGGCGGAAUUCCCGGUGUAGCGGUGGAAUGCGUAGAUAUCGGGAGGAACACCAGUGGCGAAGGCGGCCUACUGGGCACCAACUGACGCUGAGGCUCGAAAGUGUGGGUAGCAAACAGGAUUAGAUACCCUGGUAGUCCACACCGUAAACGAUGAUUACUAGGUGUUGGGAGAUUGACCCUCUCAGUGCCGCAGUUAACACAAUAAGUAAUCCACCUGGGGAGUACGACCGCAAGGUUGAAACUCAAAGGAAUUGACGGGGGCCCGCACAAGCAGUGGAGUAUGUGGUUUAAUUCGACGCAACGCGAAGAACCUUACCAAGUCUUGACAUCCCUUGACGAUGCUGGAAACAGUAUUUCUCUUCGGAGCAAGGAGACAGGUGGUGCAUGGUUGUCGUCAGCUCGUGUCGUGAGAUGUUGGGUUAAGUCCCGCAACGAGCGCAACCCUUAUGGUCAGUUACUACGCAAGAGGACUCUGGCCAGACUGCCGUUGACAAAACGGAGGAAGGUGGGGGUGACGUCAAAUCAUCAUGCCCUUUAUGACUUGGGCUACACACGUACUACAAUGGCGUUAAACAAAGAGAAGCAAGACCGCGAGGUGGAGCAAAACUCAGAAACAACGUCCCAGUUCGGACUGCAGGCUGCAACUCGCCUGCACGAAGUCGGAAUUGCUAGUAAUCGUGGAUCAGCAUGCCACGGUGAAUACGUUCCCGGGCCUUGUACACACCGCCCGUCACACCAUGAGAGCCGGGGGGACCCGAAGUCGGUAGUCUAACCGCAAGGAGGACGCCGCCGAAGGUAAAACUGGUGAUUGGGGU